CAAGUGCUUGAGACCCUGUCGCCCAUGUGGAAGACCAGGAUGGAGUUCCUGGUUCCUGGCUUCAGCUUGGCCCAGACCUGGCUGUUAUAGACAUAUGGGGAGUGAACAAGAUGAUGGAAGCUCUCUGCUGUGGCCUGUGAAAGCAGUGGAGGAUGGCCCAAGCCCUUGGGCCCCUGUACCCAUGUGGGAGACCUGAAGAACCUCCUGGCUCCUGGCUCCUGGCUCCUGGCUCCUGGCUUCAGAUCGGCGCAGCUGCAGCCAUUCGGCCAUCAGGGGAGUGAACCAGCAGCUGGAAGACCACUCUCUCUGUCGCUACCUCUCUCUGUAACUCUUUCAAAUAAAUAAAAUAAAUCUUAAAAAAAAAAAAAAGAAAAUCUAAGAGUACAGGGCAUCCUUUAGAAAU